rfam:Ornithorhynchus anatinus chromosome X5, whole genome shotgun sequence.
CUCCUUUCAGGGUCGCACCUGGAGAGUUUCCAGGACUCUACCAGUCCCGACUAUGGAGGGAGAGUCAAGCAGAGACAUAUCCAUUUCAUUUCUAGCUUGGGCAGUGGCUAGUGAGUGGAAGGCAAUCCGCUACAAGU